rnacentral:sRNA from 1 species
AUAGCUCAGACCUGCGCCCACCAUCUCCCUCCAGGCAGCCCUUGGCUGGUCCCUGUGAGCCCGUGGACACUGCCAGAGAUGUCCUCUUUCAGUUACAGGACCCUGACUGUGGCCCUCUUCGCCCUGAUCUGCUGUCCAGGAUCGGAUGAGAAGGUAUUCGAGGUACACGUGAGGCCAAAGAAGCUGGCGGUUGAGCCCAAAGGGUCCCUCAAGGUCAACUGCAGCACCACCUGUAACCAGCCUGAAGUGGGUGGUCUGGAGACCUCUCUAGAUAAGAUUCUGCUGGACGAACAGGCUCAGUGGAAACAUUACUUGGUCUCAAACAUCUCCCAUGACACGGUCCUCCAAUGCCACUUCACCUGCUCCGGGAAGCAGGAGUCAAUGAAUUCCAACGUCAGCGUGUACCGUGAGUGGCUGUGUGCGGGGCCCUCCUCUCCCCUGGGACAGAGGCUGUGUCUACUGAAUGCACACAGAGCCCCUCUGUGCCUGCUCCUGGGCACUGUCAUCGUGGGGCCCUGCCUCCCUGAGCUCCUGGGGUGACAAGGGGCAGGACCAGGCCAGCCCUUGGUUGGAUGCCUUGAGCCC